UUGCUUUGGCAGCACAUAUACUAAAAUUGGAAUGAUAAAGAGAUUAGCAUGGUCCCUGCACAAGGAUGACAUGCACAAUUUGUGAAGUGUUCCAUAUUUUU
rnacentral:snRNA from 1 species